CAGCAGUGGGGAAUAUUGCACAAUGGACGAAAGUCUGAUGCAGCAACGCCGCGUGGAGGAUGACACAUUUCGGUGCGUAAACUCCUUUUAUAUGAGAAGAUAAUGACGGUAUUAUAUGAAUAAGCACCGGCUAACUCCGUGCCAGCAGCCGCGGUAAUACGGGGGGUGCAAGCGUUACUCGGAAUCACUGGGCGUAAAGAGCAUGUAGGCGGAUUAAUAAGUUUGAAGUGAAAUCCUAUAGCUUAACUAUAGAACUGCUUUGAAAACUGUUAAUCUAGAAUGUGGGAGAGGUAGAUGGAAUUUCUGGUGUAGGGGUAAAAUCCGUAGAGAUCAGAAGGAAUACCGAUUGCGAAGGCGAUCUACUGGAACAUUAUUGACGCUGAGAUGCGAAAGCGUGGGGAGCAAACAGGAUUAGA
rnacentral:rRNA from 1 species